rnacentral:tRNA from 1 species
AUUAUUUUGGCAGAUUAGUGCAGUAAAUUUAGAAUUUAUGAAUGUAAUUAUAUUACAAAUAAUA